CCAAAGAAAAAGUCGUACUCCAGACUAGAUAGAGCCACCACAGCCUUUAUCUAUUUACAACAUCCAGAAGGGACAGAGCUGGACUGGGAACCAGUCAGUGCCUGGCGAAAACGGAGUCCCCCUGACUCCCCUGGGAGGUAAUACAGUGUGGAAGCUCAGGGCCCUGACUUGGAGUCAAACUACAGAGGUUCAAAUCGAAGCUCUGCCAUCUGUCAACUGCGUGACCUUCGUCCCACGACUGGGAUUUGUGUGCCUCAGUUUCCUCUUCUGUAAAAUGGGGCUGAUGAUAACAGUACCCACCUCGCUAGGCUGCUGUGGGGGUUAAUGUAUACCAGGACUUGGAACAAUGACGGACCCCUAGCAAGUACGGCUGAAACGUUGCUGUUGACUGUCAGUGAGCCCCGCACAGCAUCAGGGCUGAAAGGCCACCUACCUGGUCCAGUAAGAACUGCAGUAGCUGCCACGUUGCUGAUUGAUUAUCAUGAGGAACAAUGCCCAUGUGUGCCCCAAACACUGCUCAAGGUCCAUCUGGUCUACCCCACGAUGUCAGACCUGCCCACCGCUCAAUGAGUCAGAAGAUGCAGAACAGUCUCAAAGGAUGUGUUCUCCAGGAGCAAAGCCAGCAUACCAAAGGCAAGGUUCAUGCCUAAGAUGGCGCGGGUUUGACAGACACCACCAGGAACCCCUGACAGGAGGAGUAAGCUCACCACUGCGUUUGAAUCCUGGCUCCAUCGCUGCUAGCUGUGACCUUGGACUCACUUCCAGGGUGUGUGACCUUGGGCUCAUCUCUCUAUGCCUCAGUUUUCCUCCUGUGUAAAACUUGGAGAAGAAUCGCACCUACCGCACAGGAUCACGGUAAGGAUAAAUGAGAUAGGACACACCAAGCAGCUACACAGUGCCAGAGCCAUUGGAUCAGUAGUCCUGGAUGCAGAGUUGGGGAGGGGCAAGCACAAAGCCCGAGGGAUGGCCUACGUACAAAAGGCGGCCCCAUUUGCACUUCCUCAAGGGAGCUUUGGGAGGAUGAGGGGAGAUUGAAGGCCACUGCCCUGCUUUAACCCAUCAAGCUUGUUACUGUUGGCAAAGCCAGACAGAACCACUUAUCAAGAGUCAUUUUGGGGCUCCACAAAUAAUUGCCCAGCACCUGCCAGGUGCCUUAGAGAAGACUGCCCUCUGGGAGCUUAAUUUAGGAGUAGAAACAAGAUAAAAACACAAGACCAAAGAUAACAGAGGAGAGGCGGGAGACGGAGGAACGCCAGGGCACAGUGUGCUGGCACUGGACCAACUUUGCGCCUGGUACCCGGAGAGAGGGCACCCCUUCCCACGGGCCCCUCCAUAGGAUGCCUUGGGCGUAAAAUAGAGUCAGUGGUUAAAAGAUUGCUCUUCCCAGCCAGGCACACCCUGUUUUAAAUCAUAGCUCCUGUGUCACCUCAAGUACCUGACCUCACCUCUCUGAACCUCAUUGCCUCAUUUAUAAAGUAGGGAUAAUAUUGGGACAUAUUCACAGGGUUCUUGGGGGGAUUUAGGGCGGAUUACAUUAAAAGUAUGUGGCACAAGGCGUGCAAAUAGGAAACAGGCGGCAAAUGCCAGCCAUAGUUGUUGUGUUGUUGUUAUAUUUAUCCUAGUUGCAAGCACUUCAAAGAAACAUCUCUAGCAUUUGCCACUUUAAUUUAUUUCCCAAACCACAUUUACAUGGAGCUUCUGCGCCAGCCACUGUGAUGGAAUUGUCUUAACAAACCUAUGAGGAAGGUACAUUUUUUUGUCUUCUUUUCUUUUUUUACACAUAACAAUAUUUGCCAUCAUAACCAUUUUUGUGUUCAGUAGUGUUAAGCAUGUUCACUUUCUUGCAAAAUUCACAUUUACGUUCAUGUUGUUGUGCACAUCGUUGUGCAACAGCUCUCUAGAACCUUGUCAUCUUGAAAAACUGAAACUCAUCUCCCAUUUCCCCCUCCCCCAACCCCUACUUUCUGUUUCUAGGAAGGUACUAUUUUAACCCUGUUUCACAAGUCAAGAAACCAACAGCAGCUACAUAAUUUGCGGGGCUCUGUGCAAAAUUAAAAUUAUGAGGAAUGUCAAGAUGGCAACAGCAGAGCAUUAAACCAAGCACAGCGCCGUUCUGAGUGCAGUCACAUGGGGCCCAUGAAACAGGCCCUGGAGGAAACCAAGGACCAGAGAAGUUGUUACUGUCCCAAGGUCACACAGCAAAUUUUGGAGACUCUAAAAUUACAUUACCUCCUUUACUUAUUGUAAACUCUCUGCAGACAGGGGCUUUGAUUGCCCAGUGCCCAGCACAGUGCCUGGCACACAGUGGCACUCAUUACAGAUUUCAUAGCUGGGGGAAUGGAUGAACAAGUCCCAUUCACUCGAGAAAAAAGAGGCUUCUCCAAGUUUCUGUGCUUUGCCCCAGCUCUGGCACAGUAACAUUCCCAUCCCUGCUCCUCCUUUGUGUUUACCUAGUGCCCUCUGAUUCCUAGGAGAAGGCAGAGCGGCGUGUGUCUGUCUAUAUAUAAUGUCCCCUAGCACUUUUAUGAGGCCCCACCCCUGCAGUACAUUCCUGGUUUUGAGUCCCACUUUUAUGGAGUGGAGUGAAGCUAGAAGACACUGGACAAAGUGAGGUCACUAGUGACAUGCCUUGGUUCCAGGUCCCCAGGUCACCCAGAGUCUGAUGGCUAAGUCCCCUCUCGGAUGUCAACAGAGGAAAACUAGAAUUGAAUUACUAAAGUAUGACCAAAACGUGAGUUUUAUGUACAGCUGUGGCAUGAAGUGCUGCAAAGAGUUUAGGGAGCUGUCCUAAUGUUUGUUUCUUUGAAAGAAACUCCCUUCUUCUGUCUGAAUGUUUGUGAGAUUCUUUGCUGGCAGUGGGAAGAAAGGGGAGAUGGAAUCUUAGGGGCACAUGAAUAGCUUAAUCAUAAUCCUGAUCUCAUGACCGCCUGUCAUCAUUGUUCUGUGCAUGGCUCCUUCUAGUUUAAUUAUUCUUUCUGUCUUUAUUUUCAGGAAAGUAAUGAAUACAUACCUGUGAACCCACCCAACAACAAGAUCAUUACCAAAAACUCAUAUCUCCCCUGGGCUCCCCAUCUAGCUCAUCCUUCCAUCUCGGAGGUAAUCACUGUUCUGAAUUUUGUGUUUCCUGGUCGUCUUUUUUCAGAUGUGUUAAAUUUGUAUGCCCAGCUAAAUAAUACAUUGUUUAGUUUUACUUGUUUUUGAAAUUCAUAGAAAGGGUAUUAUGUAAUAUGUCACCUUCUAAAACUUGCUUUUUUGACUCAAGAGCAGCUAAAAGGAUCCCAUCGACAUGUUGCUGCACAUAACUGUAUUUUAUUUAUUUUCACUGCUGUAUAAUAUUACACUGUCUGGAUAAACUAUAAUGUAUUUUUCAUUCUCCAGUCAUGGGCAUUUGAGUUGUUUCAGCUUUUUGCUAUUAAAAAGAGAGCUUCCAUGAAAUUCUUAUGCAAGUACGUGAGUUAAAUUUUGCCUUGGGUAUAACCAGGAAUGGAAUUACUGAUUCAUAGAGUAUAGGAAUGCUCAAAUUUGCAAGGAAUGCAAAUUUGGCUUCCCAAAAUUGCUCUUUCAGUGUAUAUCCCGCCAGUGAUCGUAGGAGAUCCCACUGAUCCCCAUCUCUCAGACAUGGUAUUGUCAAACUGUUAAUUUUACCAACUGAAUGAGUGUCAAAUGAUAAAAUGAGUGAAUAGAGGGGAAACAACAGGUUGUUCAUAUGAAUUUUCAAGAAAUCAGUUCAUGUGAUGACAAAUAAUCUAUGAUGUUUAGCUUUCAACAAAUUGAAUGUGCCUUAAAAUGCUGCUAAGACAAAAUGAAAAGGAGUCAACUAUAAUGUUGCAACAAUCUUCUGAAACCUAAGUUCAUCCCAUCUUUUAUAAAUCCUCAAAAAUAUAAAUAGUUAAAAAGCAAAAGAUAGAAAGUCCCUUUAUGGGGUCAGCCCCGUGGUUAAACUCACACACUGCUUCGGUGGCCCAGGGUUUCGCCAGUUCAGAUCCCAGGCGCCGACAUGGUAAGUCGUCAGGCCAUGCUGAGGUGGCACCCCACACAGCACAACUGGAAGGACCUACAACUGGAAUAUACAACUAUGUACUGGGGGCUUUGGGAGGAGAAGAAGAAAAAAAAAAGAAAAUUGGCAAGAGUUGUUAGCUCAGAUACCAAUCUUUAAAAAAAGAAAAGUCCCUUUAUAAAAUUUAUGUAUGAUUUGCAUCAAACUGUAAUGUGUAUUUUAUGUUUCUUCUUUAACAAUAUAUUUCACAAUUUAAAAGGGGCUAAAAUGAUCUUCGCUCUAUAUUGUAUCCUAGUCACAAAAAAGUUGGAAUAGAUUACAGAGUUUAAUUGAAAUUCAUGAAGCCCAUACAUAAACUAGAGGGAAACACAAGGAAAUAAAUACCUAAGGGGAGUGCUGAGCA
rnacentral:lncRNA from 1 species